rnacentral:rRNA from 1 species
UAACAAGGUCUCCGUAGGUGAACCUGCGGAGGGAUCAUUACACAAAUAUGAAGGCGGGCUGGAACCUCUCGGGGUUACAGCCUUGCUGAAUUAUUCACCCUUGUCUUUUGCGUACUUCUUGUUUCCUUGGUGGGUUCGCCCACCACUAGGACAAACAUAAACCUUUUGUAAUUGCAAUCAGCGUCAGUAACAAAUUAAUAAUUACAACUUUCAACAACGGAUCUCUUGGUUCUGGCAUCGAUGAAGAACGCAGCGAAAUGCGAUAAGUAGUGUGAAUUGCAGAAUUCAGUGAAUCAUCGAAUCUUUGAACGCACAUUGCGCCCUUUGGUAUUCCAAAGGGCAUGCCUGUUCGAGCGUCAUUUGUACCCUCAAGCUUUGCUUGGUGUUGGGCGUCUUGUCUCUAGCUUUGCUGGAGACUCGCCUUAAAGUAAUUGGCAGCCGGCCUACUGGUUUCGGAGCGCAGCACAAGUCGCACUCUCUAUCAGCAAUAGGUCUAGCAUCCAUUAAGCCUUUUUUUCAACUUUGACCU